GACGAACGCUGGCGGCGUGCUUAACACAUGCAAGUCGAACGGAAAGGCCCUGCUUGCCGGGUCCUCGAGUGGCGAACGGAUGAGUAACACUUGUUUGAUCUGCCCUGCACUUCGGGAUAAGCUGGGGAAACUGGGUCUAAUACCGGUUAGGAACCAUCUUUAGUAUGUCGUUUGGCUAGCUUUUUCGGUGUCUGAUGUGCUCGCGGCCUAUCACCUUGUUGGUGGGGUAAUGGCCUACCAAGGCGGCGACGGGUAGCCGGGCUGAGGGGGAGUACGGCAACAUUGGUACUGAGAUACGGCCCAGACUCCUACGGUAGGCAGCAGUGGCGAAUAUUGCACAAUGGGCGCAAGCCUGAUGCAGCGGCGCCGCGUGGGGGAUGAAGGCCUUCGGGUUGUAAACUCCUUUCUCUAGGGACGAAGCUUUGUUGUGACGGUACCUAGAUAAGAAGCACCGGCUAACUACGUG
rnacentral:rRNA from 1 species